GGGGGCGUCCCCUUUGCCGCUCGCCCCCGGCCUGCUCCAGACGGCCUGUCAGGGGGCCCGCCUUCCCCGCGCGCCGGCCUGGGGCCACAAAGGAAGUGGGCCCAGUGAGGGGCCAGAAGGUGGCCUGGGCUGGAACUUGGGCCACUGGGCUGUGCCGUGACCGGCGAGGCUUUUGCUGCCCACUUGGCUUUGUUUUUGGAUGUCCAGUAAAAGCAAAGAUGGACUUAGCUUUUCGGCGGGUUCUCUCGUCGACUGUCGCUCCUAUUUAAUACCACUGAGUGAUUUUAGUGACGUUAUGUUUGGCAGUAAGAUUUAGGACAUGGUUCAAGAGGCUCCUUCGUUUCUGUAGUUUAAAAAUGUGGCUUUAAUUACAGGCUUGAGUAGUUGAUAAAGAACAUUUUAAGAAGCCUGGGAAGACCAUGUGGGAAUGAACCGCUUAAACUGCCUUUAAAGCGAAAAGUGGGCUUUGAUAAAAUGUAUCCCUUUCAAAUAAAUGCUUUGCAAUCU
rnacentral:lncRNA from 1 species